rnacentral:lncRNA from 1 species
GGAUGCUGUGUCUUUUGGGUGUCACGACCUAAUUUCAGGAGAUUCCUAAUACGGUUGCUUAUAUUUGGGUAUUUCCAGUAAUCCAGUUAUGCACGUUGCUAACCUGAAGCUGAUGUCUCCGUUGAAGUUGUAUGAGGCAGAACCAGGUGGAGCAGGGCUGGUCCCCACACAGCUGCAGGAAGUUUCCUUGGUGCUAGUGUGGAAUUCUUCACUAAAGAGACAAAAUCUGCCAUGUUCUUCUCAUGAACACAGCAACUGCACAAGGAAGACAGUGAGAACUAUUGCUCCUUCAUUAAGAGAAUGUCUGGAUAAUGAUCUGUUCAAGGAGAGAACAGAACAAGUUUUGGAGGAAUGCUGAAGCCCUCUGGACUAUUCCAAAGACUUCACAGAAAAGACUAGUCGCAACAACCAAUACUUUCCAAUCUUGUAAGGGAAACUGGCUGCAGUUUGUUGGAACUGGGAAGUAAGCUGUCUGUAGAAGAAGUGAUGUGGAGUUUCUCAGCUGUUAAUGAUGGUGAAAAUACCCAAAGGAAAAAAAAAAAAAAAAAAAAAAGGUAGGAUUUCUCUUUUUGUUGUAUAAUUGCCAAUCAAGGAUAAAAUUUCCCCUUUUCUUUUUGAUAGAAAUAAAUAAUA